UUCCCCUGGACCCUCUCUCCCACUCUAGAUAAAUCUAUCCACCUGCUAUGGUCCAUUCAUCCCCAACUCAAGCCAUCCCAGGAACAGUGACAGAAGGAGCCUGCCCUAAAUCCUUUAAAUGACUUCCUGCUCUCCCCCAACAAGAUGGCGGAUUCAAGUGAAUGGGGAUUGUGUUAUCAAUGUGGAUAUUAUAUUCUUUGUUCCGUCAGCUGGGUCUGAAUCCUGUCUUCUUCUUAGUAGCUACGUGAACUUGGGCAGGAAAAGCCACUCUGAUGGCACAGGAUGACACCGAUCAAUGGGACGGAGUCGGGAGCUGGGACAGCAUGAAGAGGGGUGGACAUCCUAAAGAAGUCAUUCUCAGCAGCAGCCCUGGCAACACAGGUGGAAUCGCACAGGGGCAGAGGCCAGUGACGACUUUCAUGACUCAUCUUUAUAUCCCAGAAAAGAAGAAACAUUCCAAAGUGGCUGCUUGAGAUAAGGACAGGGUGGGACCCAAGAGCAACGGCAACUCAGAAUCAGAAAUUAGGGGAGGAUUCCACACACCCAGCUAGUGAGGAUGAAUUUAAAGAGAACUGUGUGUGGUGUGGUCCCCUAACCUAGGGCACAUAAUUCGCAUUCCUCUGUGGGAUCCACUCUCCUCAGUUAAAUCUUCCAUGGUUGGGGUUGCCCUUAAGACACUGUUUUGGCUAGGUGGGUCCUCAGCGACCUUUCCACCCUCACCCCUGCCUUGCUGGGAGCUUUCCUCUCUAGAAAUGUUACUAGUCAAUGAAUAUUAUGCCUUUUGGGGCGGGCACAGGAGAAGGUGAUGUUUACAGACCCUAGGGGUGGAAUCUGUAAGCUGGGCGGGGCUCGCUCUUACUUCAAAGUCUUGACUCCUCUGCGGCCUCCUUUCCCUGAGCAACAGAGCUGUUUGGCCCGCAGUGCCUGGCUCAAGGUCAGGGAGCAAGCAGCCAAGGCCAGGAGGAGGGGGCGGUGAUUCCCAGCACUGCUAUCACCUGACAUUUACUUUACAGUCUGUUAACUCCCAAACAAUACAGUACAUGCCGAUGUGCAGGGUACCUUCCGUCUAAU